CCCAGGCUUCUUUCAUCUGUGGGCCUGUUAUCCUCUAGGGCCUCAAUGGCAUCUGCACCUAGCCAGCAAAAAGAGAAGAAGGGCAUGGAGAAGGCACACUCAAUUUUUAAAAACCUUGACCCAGAAGUGAUACACAACAUUUCUAUUCACAUUCCUUGGGUAAGAAUAGUCAUAUGGCUAUCUCUGGCUACAAAGAGGACUGAUAAAUGUGUCCCUUCUGAGCCAUAAUUCCAUAUCAUGGAAGAAAGAACAUGAGCUUUGAUGGCCAACUAGCUAUCUUGGCCACAGGUGGACAGCUCACCCACACUUACGCUAUGAGAAAUUAGCAUUUCCCCUUUUCUUAAACAAGAAAACUGAGGCUCAGAUGGGGUAAGCAAUUGAUGUAUAUUUACGUUCUUAGGAAGGAGCCAAGUCAAGAGUUGCAUGUAUAUACCUUAUAAAGCCUGUAUCUUCCCUCUCUCCCUCUUUUCUCCCUCCUGUCCAUCUCUCUCCCAUCUGUUUUUCUCCCUCAAUUCUUUUGUUUAUUCUCUUCUAUCAUUCUAAACCUUGAAAAUUUCUAAAACAUGAACAUUUUGCUUCUGUAACCUUGUAUGUUUUCAACACGAUUGUUCUUUUUGGUUUGAAGAUUGUCCCCAUGGGAUAUCUUUAACCUAGAGAUUUGCCUAAAGCAUAUGAGAUGGUUUCUGAAGCCUUCAUUUUGCUCUCAAAGGUACAGGAAAGUUACCAAUGAUAGAAAAGAGACAUUUCUAAAAAGCAAAUCUGAUACUGUCACUCCCUUACAGAAUAAUACUUGAUGUGUACCUAUCACUUUCAAAGUAGAGAUCUCACUACCUUAGCAUAUAAAGUCAUCUUUUUAUAUGCAUCUUGACUUAGCAUAUAAAGUUGUCUGUGAUUUAGCCCCUAAAUGCCUCCCUGACCUUCACUCAGACCUCAGGCAGUUUCUUGGAAGACCUGCACUUCUUCCACACUUAUCCUGCGUUCCCCUGUUGGCCUGGCCCCUGCCUCCAAACACGCAUUUUCCUAUUGCAUUCUGUGAUUCCAAAGUAGGCCCUACUGAAGACUACAGCACUAGACUGGAAUUGUUGACUCGCGUGUAGAUUUUGUGUGUUUUUCCCUAUUUGACUGUGGGCUCCUCAAAGACAGCAGCUUGUCCGAUUUAUUUUUAUCUACCAAGUGUCCAACACAGGGUGUGACACAAAGCUUGUGCCCAUUCUGUAAGGUUUAUUGUCCUGUGGGGUUUAUUGCCGAGUUUAAAAUGAGGAAACUGAGGCCAGCAUAAGUAAAUUAAAUGCCAACUUAUUUAACUCCUGGACGAGGUUCCAUGGUCCCAGAGAAAGGGGCCAGGGAAGUCGCACCUGACUCCUCUAGGGCGUGGGGUUUUAUAGGGAGGGAAGGCAUUUGAUUGGCUGUGGAGAAACAGGACGUGGACUGGGCAAGCUGCUAUUGGUAGGUAUGUGGGAUUUCUGGUGAGUGGGCUGUGUGCCAAGUGCAGAGUUUAGUGUUGAGUGCAGAUUCUGGUGCGGAGUGCAGAAGUGGGCGUGUUGAGGGCAGAUUCUGGUGACGUAAUUUUCAGGCAUGGAGAGGGAUGGGCGUGUCCGAGCUCCCGGCGAGGCAACCGGUCUUACACGUUCAAUCUGAAGUGCACACAAGAAGGGAUUAACCACUGCUAAGCUGCAAGACAGGCAUCAGAAGAAACUGGUUUCACAUCCACCGGCAAUUCAAAAUGAGAAAAUAUGAUGCUGGCAUGCUAAUCGCGUGAGACGGCUUGGCCCACGGACAGCCACAAAGCACAAAAACAAAACACAAACUCAGAAGAGACAAGGAUCGUGUUUUCCUGGCGUCUACGAGAAGCGCUUUAUUUUUCCUCUAGAUUUCUUUUUUAACAAAAACGGAAACAUUUAAAAACACAGUACAAACUGCAGGUGAUCAUCUUCAAGCCUGUUCUUUUAUUAAGCAUAGGUUGGGAGGCACAGGCGGACGUUUAAGCAGAAAGCCAAGGCAAGACAACAGACUGACUGAUGGAAGGAAUCAAUAUUCCUUGCUCUCCAGAAUAUCCUGUGUGUUCUUGAGGACACACACCUCCCUGCCUGUCAAGGUAUCUAAGGAAUGCUUUGAAAAAUUUAUUUUCUAUAGACUUUAAAGAAUUUUUUUGUGUAGCACUGGCAAAGGAGUCUAUGACACGUACUUUGCCCCCCAGGAGCUCUGCCACUCCAUCUUGGUGUCACAGCCAUCCUGCCCAGCUGGGGCAAGUUUCUGAGAGUUGUCUCCCCAGCAAUUGCCAAGCUGGCUCAGUAUGGCCAGGAUGCAAGAAACAAUUAUCUGCUGGAUCGAUGCAGCAAGGAGCAGUAAACACUUGCUUUUUCUUCCCUAAGUAGGAGACAGCACGCCCCUGGCUGCAGUGGUGACCAUGCUGGAAGCUGGGUGAGUCAAGGGGACCCCAGGAUACUGUCUAAUAGUAAGAAAGAGAAAAUUGCUUGUGCUUCUCCAGGGAGAUAAAGAACCAGAACCCACCCAGGUUACUUUCAAACAAGCAGGCCACCACCAGAACGCAAAGAAACCUAUGCUGAGCCCCAGAAAAGCACCUUUACCCCUAAAAUUCCCUGCUUCCCAUUCGUACUUAACAUUCUUCAUGCGGUUGGGACUGCUCUGAUUUCCUUUCCUCUUGCGGAUCUCUGUUAGAGGGACACGGAAACCCCCUAAGGUUGGAAGGGGUCCAGCCUCGGCAGUUCCGUGGGCGCACACGCAGAGCGGGUCUGUGCGCCCAUGGUCUCGGAGCUCCGCUUAGCCGGACUGGCUGCCAAGCCGUUCUUGGAUCAGCCUCUCGCUGAGCGCCCACAGGGCCCGGGCCGUCUCUUCGCUCUGCGCUUCUGGCGAGGGCAUGCAGCGGCAGCAGUUGUUGAAAUACAUGCCUCCCAGACCCUCCAGUUCUGGGGCGGCAGCACAAUAGACGGUCGUGGCAGCUCCCUGUUGCUGGGAAUCAAAGAAGAAAGACAAACAUGUUUUAAGAAGAGGAGUCAUGGGAUGGCAUCAGCAAAUCUCCCCCACUUGGUGGUUUCAGCUGGAUCUUGGCAUAGCAAAGGCUACUGGGCUGAAAGCACAUGACUGAAAAGUAUACUGUGACUAUCCUGGAAAAACGAGUUCAUAAACUCCGCUUGUAAAGCUGGUGUGACUUUUGACACCUCGUAUAGAACAGGCUUGGAAAAUAAAUACAUGUCGUGGCAGGCGCCUCGUCUACACAGGAAGGAAAACGAUAUCCUUCUGAUAGUGCAAGAGCACAUUCAUCCAACCCCUCGACGUCUCAAUGUAGAAUGUCACUUGAUACCAACUUGUUUGUAGAACCUUCUGUCUGACAAACCAACCACUCUUAAUUAUGGCCCAUCAGGUAGAAAACCCAAGUGGAGCUGGUGCCAGAUCCUCCCUUUAUGCUCUGCCCACAGUGCUGCUAGGGGAACGGUGGGCAAGGCUGUGUUAAAACAUUUAAUGCACACACCCACAUACUCCCCAGCAUACAUGACUAUCUAGCACAUCUCUUAAUUCAUCCAGAACCUAUGAAAACUACUUUUUCCUAAAUGUUGUAUUUGUCCCGGAUCUCCAACGGGACCAUGGCUAAGCGGUCCAUUUCCUCCCCGCCCACUUCAAGAUGUAAGUUGCAAAGAGUACAGUUGAUCACUUUUGAUUCACCUUUUGAGUAACAGUUGGGGCUAGGGCUAGGGAUGUGUGCACUGAUGGUGCAUCAUAUCAUCUGUACUGACAAAAUACAGUCAGGGAUGCUGUAAAGAGGGCAAGAAAUCACUUUGCUUUGCAAGCCAUAAUUAAAAAUAAUAGGCUGCUGUUCAGAGGGAGACAUGGUCGGCACGUCUCUAAUUUAAAACCAAUACAGUUUAUCUGGCAUCUUAUGAUUAUUUAUGUGUUUCACAGCCCUAGCUGCAUCCACUAAUUUUCAGCUCAUAGGGAGCAGGGUUGCAAAAGAGGACCAGACAAGAUGAUAACGGAAGGUAAGGCAGCCCCCACCAGGAAGACGGUAAGGAACUUUGAUUGCGGGGGAAACGGCUUUCCGACCUCACCCGAAGUUUAUCACUUUUUUUUUUUUAACCUCUGCAGGGUUUUAACUCUGAGCAUGCAGGGUGCUUAGGGGAGGACUUUCCCUCACAUGGUUUGGUUUGCCAUCACUAUGCUUGUAUUCUAGGGAGCCAGGGCCAUUCUGAGAACCAGGGGCCCGUGGAAGGUGUUAACGAUCUGAAGAAGGUGGAUAAGGCAGACGUGGGUUUGCUGUUGCUUGCUUUUGGUUUCUUCAGUGUCAGGGUCUGUAGUUAAUCUAUGUUGGUCUGAAAAUGGAAUGGUCAAAUGCAGUCAAGUGACAUGACUCUGGCAGGGGUGUGGACAGUGCAUGAGACGAGCACUUGGAUUUCGAAAAUAAGUGGCUGCUUGGUGAUAUCAGGGAAGUCCCAGUAACUAACUGAUAUGUCUUGAACUGACUUAAACAGUAACUGGUUACCGCCCCAGUCUCCUACCGUAACCACGCCCACUCCAAAUAGCCAGAUAUUAUCCUAGAUUCAGCUAGUUCUUUUCCAUUGAUUUCUGUGGGUCAAGUCUAAUGGAACAGAAUUCGUGUCAUCCAACUUUCCUUUCACUGAAUUAUGAUUCCUCAUAACCCUCGGCUUAGCAGCUGGCACAUGUAUCUAAACAACUUCAAGAGGCCCAUCUGACUCUUCUGCAUCCCAUGUGGGGAAAAGGGAAGCAGGCGUGCCUCUAAAGACAAACUGGAGAAUGGAGAUGCUCAUCCAGCUAAUUCAAGCCAAAUAUCACCUGAACUGAGCUAAGAAUUCAGACCGAGAUAGUGCUUUGCAUGAACAUCCAGCUCUCUGUCACAGAUUUCCAUUUUAUGCUGCCAAAACCACCAGAGUGGCCCAGUGCCCGCGUGGUGAGAGAAUCCAGCCCACUAAUUUCAGUCCAGCAACCCCCCACGCCCACGCCGCAAUGACUAUACUAUUCAGUAUUGAAACGUCAUGACACAGUGGCCUUUCAGUGUUCUGGUAAUCCUAACACCAAAGGAGUCCACUAGGGAAAGCACAAAGCAGAAUUCUUCCUAAACUGAAAGAGUAUUUUACCAUUAUAACCUUCCGAAAUGAUGCAGUGGGGUACUCUUGCAUCAUUGGAAUGGUAUUUUAGCAAAGAAAUUCUUCAGUCUCAUGGAUUCCUAAUGCAGUCGAUGCGGGAGCUGGCGGGGGCGGGGGGGCUGCAUUGUCCUUCCAUGGACUCUGAAAGCAAUUGCAGUUGGCCAGAUUUCAUGCAAACCUCUGUUCAGCUACACUGCUGAGAGCCGCACCUUUUUUCAGACGUGGCCUUUGCUUCCUUUGCCACUAGGCUUCGGGUGAUCCACUCUCUACGUUACUUCGCAAGUGGCUCUGGCUUUGUAGAGGAACACAGUAUACCGCAGGGACACUCGAAAACAAAGACUACCUUCUCGACUCCGAAAAUCAAUCGUGCACAUUUGGCAAAUUCUCCUUCUCAGAUUCAUGCUUGGUGCUCAUGGGUACUCCACUUUCCUCCCUUGCUAGACAAUCGAGCAGUAACAAUACCCUGUUGUUGGUCCCAUGCCCACCAGCUCUUUAGUUUCUUGGAUAAUUCUCUUUACAACUGUACCAAUGGCAACCUCUGAGUGACAUCUUUAGAUGAUCACAUGUGACAACACGUUUUAAUAACAAGUUCUCAUGUCUGGCUCAUCAGCUUCUCGGUCUGCAUAUCAGAACAAGACUGAGCCACAUCAGUGAAAACUCAAUAGUCAACAAGCCGGUACUGCUGAUACAAGAGAAAACACUUUGAAAGAGCACUUUAAUCACCAACUGAUGACUUUCGUAACAGUUUUUGGGGCAUCAGUUCAUAAUUCAGAAAAGACGAAAGAGCCAUCUAAAGGAAAUAAUGUUAACAACUCCAUUAUAAAAUAUCUGAAGCAAUGCCUUGCCAGCUGUCACCACUGCGAUAAAAUAAUACCUUGACAGCCAAACACUGGCUGGAGCUAAGGGUUCCCCUAAAUGAUUUUUUUUUUUUUUUUUUUUUGGAGAACCAUUUAUCAGAAGCCUGUAGGUUGCUAAUCAUGGGAACUGGGGGAGGCGUCUCUAUCCUGCAGCAGUGAGUUAGGGUGUUGGGGACACAGGACUGAGAAUUUCUGGGAAGCCCAGUAGACUCUUUAAUCAUGCCCGAAUGCCAUUUCCGAUCUAGUCAAACAUUUGUGAGCUGCCAGAGGAGACCUGUGCAAUCAAUCUUGAUAGCGUAUGUAAAAUUACCCGGGACUCUCGUUUGGGAUUAAGUUAAGAGUAUCUUAGUAAUCAGGGUUCUUCGUUCUCUUUCAAACAUCAUUUGUCAGAUUUGCAGCACAGUCUUCAACUACAGAAAGGUGGGAUUUAGAAAGCAGUUGCUACUUACUCAUAGUUGAGGCCCUCAGAUCUAAUUAGCCAUCUUUACACAACUCUGUGUUGGGAUGAAAAUGUCAAGUACCUGCUUUUCAUCAACACAUUGGAUAACUGCUAGCCAUCAAUUUAUAGUUGUCAGCACGGAAUACAAAUGAAUAUUGACUCCUUUAAAGGAAAGGGUACCGAGGUUUCUGAUAAACAAUAUAUGGAAAAGAAAAAAACACCCACAGUGAUACUUGUAAUGCAUUGGUAGUACUCUAAUAUAAUACUCACGUUCUAACAGGGACACAUGUUACAUAACGUUUUGUUUUGGGGUUUUUCUAUUUUUAAAUGCAUGCUUAUUUAAAAGAAAGGCUAGAUUCCUGUCUUAAAGUACACUUAACUAUGCGAUGUAUACAAAACAUCAUGGCACCUCUAUAUAUUCAAUGACUGCGAGAGAGUAGGAGACGUUCUAAGAUUGCUUUCUUACAGGGACAUUGCACGGCAAAUGCUGAAUUAAUCCAUUUAUGCAAAAAGUAGAGUUAGGAAAGGAACACACCUUGGAAGUUAGAUUAGGCUGGGAACACGAAGGGCAGGGAAGGAGAACAGCUCUUUUGAAGGCGAGUGGUGUUUGCACGACUGAAUUCCCAGGACUGAAGUGAGCAGGUUUGGCUGAAAGGAAAGACACACACCUCUUCAAACCCUUGCUCCCACUGUUACUCAUCUGGUGUCUGUGGGGCAAGGCACACACUUCCCACAUGCAAAGCCAGCCACCUUAUCCAGUGACUAUGUGCAUACACCACGAGGAGCAGAAUCAUUAUUUAUCAGAGAGCUCUGGUGGAGAUGAGGGGGUGAGACCUCAUGUCAUGGGAGUAAUGGAUGGCACUCGCCACACCCUCUCUGUCUUCCCCUGUCUCCCGGUAACACUCCCCAGGAGAGUCUAUAACCACUCUACCAGAACUGUGCCAUGCAGGGUUUCAGAGGUCAGCUCCAGCUACCUUGGUCCUGGGGACACAGCCAUUCCUCACAGACAAUUACAGCUUCAAUCUCUGAUUGGAAACAAAUGAAAGCAGCCUGCUCCAAAAGGCCACGUGUUCCCUUGCGCACUGUCCAGAGGUGAUCUUGCAGGGGACACAUUUGCCACGCGUUCCAUUUGUUCAGGAAGUAAUGUACGGGAAUGAGGCUCAUGGGCCACCCUGGCGAGGUGACCACGCUAGUACGUCACCCUCUUCCACCGUGAUACUUCUAUAAUUCAAUUCCACAGCUCAAUCUGGAAUAAGUGCCAAUCAGUAAACACGCCAACUUCCACCUAAGUGAUGGGAGGCAGCAGAGGAGAACAGAACAGAGCUAUCUACUCCAAAGGCUUCACCCCUGCACACUGCCUGGCUAUUUCAGAGAGUUACAGCAAACGAGGACUAUUCAGGUGGUAACAAUGACUGGCAUUUGUGGAGAGGUUACGAUUUGCCAGGCUUUGUGCGGAGAGCUUUGGAAGCAUUGUCGUCUAAUGGUCACACAGGCCUAUGAGCCAGGGACAAUUACUAUUCCCCUUUACAGAGAAGCCUAGAAGCCUACUUGGGAUCAUAGAUGAAAAGCAAUGGGUCCAAAGCCACACCGAUCAUGGUGUAGACUGAGUGAGUCCAGACUCCUUAUCAGCUGGCACAUGAAACCGGCUCCCCAGAUCGGUGACACAAAUAUUUGCACAUGGCCCUUUUCCUCAUCUAUGUCUCCCACGGGCCUCCGGCUUCCUACACCUCUCUGCCUGCUCUGCCGCCGCCUCAGCCAGGCCAUGUCUGGCCACAAAGUGACACCGUGACGCAGCCUAAAAUGAAACGUAGGGGCUGUCAGGUUUUUGCUUGAGAAAUGUUAAAAGGGUAUUUUUUUUUUUCCCCAUUGCUGAUUUAGUCAGGGAGCUAAAUUGAAAUGAUACCCAUUUGGAUGAACAAAAAUGAGGACUCAGCACCACCCUGGACGAUCCAGAAGCAAGUGACCCCUUAAGAAAAAGGUCAUCAGAUUCAACGGGCCAUCUCCAGAUGCCAGAUGUGCCCAACUAAGGAAUCUACUCUUGGAUGAUAGAAUUUUUUUCAAAGCAUGGAGGUCCCAAACAAGUGAAAUUGACAUAAUUCUCACCUUACCAGUUCCCACGCAUGCACGUGCAGGCUCUGAGGUGCUUCAUUGGGUUUGCAGAGAAAAUACCGAUCCAUCCCGCUUACUCCCCCUCCCCCAAUGCUUCCUAACAAAACCAUCCCUACCAAUUCCUGCAAACUGACUCCCACAAAGGCCUUGAACCAUCCAGGCUUAGAUACACGCAAAUUCUUCCUGAAGGUAUUGAAAUGGCAUCUUUCUUCCUAAGCCCUUGAGAGUUUUGCUAAUUCACAGGCUGUUCUUAACACUUACGAUAUUAGAGAAAUGCACUCAAUUUUCCCAACAGAAAAAGAGAUGAUGAUAGGAAAACCAAUAUUUGUUUUUAGACUUGAAGCCUAUGAGAAGGUGUUCUGGAGAAUCCACAUACAUCACAUUCCGAAUCUUAGCCCUCCAGAAGAGAACAUGCCUGCUCUAUCGAGACAGAUGUGGACACUGUGUCUGGAUAUUGAUCUUCUGCCAUAAGAAAAACAGUUUCUUUGCUAGAAACAGGUUCACAAGGGUAGAAAAACUUCAGGCUCCUAUUUGAUUGCCUCUCCUAUGACAGGUGAAGAGUAUCACUCCCUAAGUGACACUGGGGACAGUGUCUGGGGGGGCUUGAAGGCAGUUGCUCUGAGAGAAAGUGACGUGCCAGUCCAUUGUCAUAAAUGCAAUUGGUUCACACAUAGGCCACAACCUCAAAUUUCACAGAACACCUUGACAGAAAUGGGUGUGGGGGUGGGGAGAAUGUCACGCACUUUCAAAGGACAUCCAUGUGUUCCACAGGCUUCUAUUCACUGAGAACUUAUGUGCAGUCCCGGGCUCGUUCCUGUUUGUGGUUCGGGCCUCCCAAAGAGGACGUCCCCAAAUAUGACGUCAGGCUAAAGGAAAGCAUCAUACAAAGGCCAUGGCAUUCUCCCUGACAAAAGAUGUGAAUUUCUAGCAAGAUCACUAAGGAGUUUCAAGAGGUUGACUUGAAGACAAGGGUAGAAUGAGUUGAAAAGUCAACAGGAAUGGAGCUCUUACUCCUCUGAGAAAUAUUCGCAGGAAGGAGCCUGGAGACCAGCAGGUCCAGGAUGGAAAGCUGGAAAGAAUUCUUUCCUAAAACUGAAGUUCUGAGGAAGAAUAGGCAGCCAGUCCCAAGCAUCCAAAGACAUCCAAAGCCAUGUUUGUUCUGGGAAGGCCAAGGCAUGGGAGGAUGUUUGCUUGGACUAGCAGCAGGACUGAAGGGCAGGGUGACCUUGGUAGGCUGUCAGGGCCUGUGGUUCCAAGUUGACAGACUGUUCUGAGCUUUUCCAUGAAAUGAAUGAAGCCCUUUUCAUACCGCCUUUGUGUUCCAGAACUCUUGCCAUUAGUGUUCCAAAGGAUCUGUGACAGAUUUAUAUCUAGUCUUAAAAGACCUGAGUUGUAACAUUCAGAAUUCUCUUAUCUUUCUGAGACCCUAGACAUGUGUUGUUGGGGUUGGGGUGAGGGUGCUCCCAAUGAUGGAAGGAAACAGAAAUGGCUUAAGGGGAGUCCAUGUGGGUGAUUGCAUGCACCCUGGUUCCCUCUUUCAUUUGUGCUUGCCCAAACGGUUCUAGAACUGCCUAGACCUGAGAGGCUGUCUCAUUACUACUAAGAGAAGGUAUUGUUGACCAUGUCCAUAUGCAUGGAAGAAUUCCCUGGGCAUUCCAUUCCCUUUGAUACUGUCUGGAAUACAACAUUGCUCAAACUAUAGUUGCUUUUUGAAUGGGGAUGAAAAAUCACAUUAGGGUAUCCAUUCUUCCAUGGUUACUUUGAAAUGGCCAAGCAGAAGUGCCAUAGAAAUCUGCCACCAAAAUAAACAUCUAACUGAUGGUGUCAUCCUUCUACAUGGAACACAUCUGAUGGCAUGUCACUGACAUUUUCCAACUGAGCCACCUUGAGGCCUGUGCUGAAGGACUGCUGAUGGUUUUAUAAGAGAUAAAAGAAGAGAUUUUGUGUGUGUUUGAAACAUUUUACAUUUUGACUCUGUUUAACCUCUGUUAUGGUUAUGCCUAGCUUGUGUACUGUAUAUAAGUGUAUGUAUCUGUAUUAGCCAUGUAUACUUAAAUAAACCUUUGAAAUUAAUGAGCUCAGUUCUAAUAUAAUACUGCAAAGAAUAUCUUCAUAGUACAGGUGAAACCAACAGCUUUCCCCUUCCCUUCUUCUGAACAGAAUGGCUCUACCCAGUCUGCCUGCCAAAUUACGUCUUUUAAAAAACCAAGUAGCUAUUUUGUGAGCAGGCAGGAUGUCAUGACACACCCCAAACAGUUUGUUUAGAUUUUAAGGUUGACAGUUCAUUUACACUUAUACCCCAUAUGUACUCCACGACACGGUCCUGAAAGGCACUGAAGGAGGAGGGAGAAAAAAACCACACCGGGUCUCUUCUGGGGCCACAUCAUGGUAAGGAAUUAACUCAACUCUGUCUUCCAGAAACAAAUUAAGAGGAUGUACUUUGGAAUAAUUCAGAUCUCACAGGCAGGCCCCCGAUGUCCAGACCCACGGUUUCAAACCGGGCAUGUCUGCGUUAGGUGUGCGCAUCUCCAUCGAGAGUUCACUGGAACAGAUCAUUUCUCAGGCUCAAAGACGUUGGCCUGGUUAACAUUUCAUUUAGAACAUACUGUGGCGAGCAUCUCAUUUAUAUUACUUCCAUAAUUAAUGGCGAUAGCUUAGGCACUGCCUUUACACAGAGAGAUCUCUUCACAGUGGUCGAUGGGUAAUGAGAAACAAUAGAUAUUUCAUUCACCAGCAGCGUGUUGCUAGUUACUAGGAAAUGAUCGUGUGUGCUGUUGUUGCUUUAAUUGCCCGGGUAAAUAAUUCUGCCUCGGUGUUAGCAUUUUAAAGCACUUGAUGCAAAUAAACUAGAAACCAAACAAACAAAACAAUUAACCUUGAUUAUGCAACACCUUAGCAUAGAAAGUUACAAAGGUAUGUCUUUUUUAAAGAUUGCAUUAUAUCAUGCAAAUAUUAUCUAAAUAUGCAUGUGCUGACUACUCUUCUACUAUAUUUUAGGAAAUACAAUUAGGCUGCCUUUCUCUUCCCCUAUGUAGACUGUAAAUAACUGUAGAUCUUUCUCUUGUUUCCCUAUGUAAAUAUAUGUAAAUACUAACAAACUAUGCAUGCUGCUAUUCUAGGCAAUUUCAGGUACUUUUAUAAUAUGAAGGCAUGUACUUGAACUCGUUUGUUAAGGGGUGGGGGGCGGGAAAUUCUCUCAAACUCUUUAAUGCUGAAUAGAAAUUAAAGAUUUCUUCCUA